UAAAGUAGAUUAAUAAGAAAUGUAACUUAAUAAUUUGUUUUAUGUUUUAGUUCAUUAAGGAUAAGCUUAAUGAAAGGUAUAGGAAAAAAUAUUCGCUUUAAGUUGGCUAUUUAGGCUUGAAAUUAGUCAUCGUAGUAGAACUUGUUAUAAAGCAGUCCUUUUUAAAAAAGAAAAUUUUUAUGUUUUCCUUUCUGUAUUACAAUAAGGGUAAAGGACUAAAUUAAUAAGUCCAAUUUAUUUAUGCUAAAAUGAGUAUUAUAAACUAGCAUAUGUGAGUGAAUAAAAUAUUGGAAAUACUCAUAAUAACAUGUAGUUUUAAAGUUAAAAUGAAAGGAAGGAACUCGGCAAAUUUUAGCUUCGCCUGUUUAUCAAAAACAUGGCUCUUUGUUGUUUUAAUAUAGGGAGUCAAACCUGCCCAGUGAAAUUUUUCAACGGCCGCGGUACCCUGACCGUGCAAAGGUAGCGUAAUCAUUUGCCUUAUAAUUGAAGGCUUGUAUGAAUGGUUUAACGAGAGCAUUGCUGUCUCCCCCUCAAUAAAUAGAAUUUGAUCUUUAGGUGAAGAGGCCUAAAUGUAAUUGAAAGACAAAAAGACCCUGUCGAGCUUAAAAACUAAGUUAGAAAUGGAUAUAAGAUAUUUUAAAUUUAUUACUAACUAUAUUUUUUGGUUGGGGCGACCAAGGAACAACAAAAGCUUCUUUUAUUUAUAUUAACUUAUAAGUAUAGAUCCAGCCCAAAGCUGAUUAAAAGAAUUAGUUACCGCAGGGAUAACAGCAUAAUCUCUCUUGAGAGACCAAAUCGAAAGAGGGGGUUGUGACCUCGAUGUUGGACUAGAAUAUCCUGAAGAUGCAGAAUCUUAAGGGUUGGUCUGUCGACCA
rnacentral:rRNA from 1 species